GGAUGAUUGACUGAGCGGAUUAAGGUACUUGUUUCGAAAACAAGCGGGGUUAACAGCCCCCGCAGGUUCGAAUCCUGCAUCAUCCU
rnacentral:tRNA from 1 species